rnacentral:rRNA from 1 species
UACGAAGGGGGCUAGCGUUGUUCGGAAUUACUGGGCGUAAAGCGCGCGCAGGCGGCCUUUCAAGUCAGAGGUGAAAUCCUGGAGCUCAACUCCAGAACUGCCUUUGAUACUGGAGAGCUUGAGUCCGGGAGAGGUGAGUGGAACUGCGAGUGUAGAGGUGAAAUUCGUAGAUAUUCGCAAGAACACCAGUGGCGAAGGCGGCUCACUGGCCCGGUACUGACGCUGAGGUGCGAAAGCGUGGGGAGCAAACAGG